AAUUGGAGGGCAAGUCUGGUGCCAGCAGCCGCGGUAAUUCCAGCUCCAAUAGCGUAUAUUAAAGUUGUUGCAGUUAAAAAGCUCGUAGUUGAAUUUCGGGGUCAGUAGGCUGGUCAUGCCACUGGUAUGUACUGAUCUUACUGAUUCCUCCUUCCUGAUGAACCGUAAUGCCAUUAAUUUGGUGUUGCGGGGAGACUGGACUGUUACUUUGAAAAAAUUAGAGUGUUUAAAGCAGGCUAACGCUUGAAUACAUUAGCAUGGAAUAAUGAAAUAGGACGUUCGAUCCUAUUUUGUUGGUUUCUAGGAUAGACGUAACGAUUAAUAGGGAUAGUUGGGGGCAUUAGUAUUCAAUUGUCAGAGGUGAAAUUCUUGGAUUUAUUGAAGACUAACUACUGCGAAAGCAUUUGCCAAGGAUGUUUUCAUUAAUCAAGAACGAAAGUUAGGGGAUCGAAGACGAUCAGAUACCGUCGUAGUCUUAACCAUAAACUAUGCCGACUAGGGAUCGGAUGAUGUUAAUUUUUUAAUGACUCAUUCGGCGCCUUACGGGAAACCAAAGUGU
rnacentral:rRNA from 1 species